rnacentral:rRNA from 1 species
GACGAACGCUGGCGGCGUGCCUAAUACAUGCAAGUUGAGCGCUGAAGGUUGGUACUUGUACCGACUGGAUGAGCAGCGAACGGGUGAGUAACGCGUGGGGAAUCUGCCUUUGAGCGGGGGACAACAUUUGGAAACGAAUGCUAAUACCGCAUAAAAACUUUAAACACAAGUUUUAAGUUUGAAAGAUGCAAUUGCAUCACUCAAAGAUGAUCCCGCGUUGUAUUAGCUAGUUGGUGAGGUAAAGGCUCACCAAGGCGAUGAUACAUAGCCGACCUGAGAGGGUGAUCGGCCACAUUGGGACUGAGACACGGCCCAAACUCCUACGGGAGGCAGCAGUAGGGAAUCUUCGGCAAUGGACGAAAGUCUGACCGAGCAACGCCGCGUGAGUGAAGAAGGGUUUCGGAUCGUAAAACUCUGUUGGUAGAGAAGAACGUUGGUGAGAGUGGAAAGCUCAUCAAGUGACGGUAACUACCCAGAGAGGGACGGCUAACUACGUG